CCUACGGGAGGCAGCAGUGGGGAAUAUUGGGCAAUGGGCGCAAGCCUGACCCAGCAACGCCGCGUGAAGGAAGAAGGCUUUCGGGUUGUAAACUUCUUUUGACAGGGAAGAAUAGCAGACGGUACCUGUCGAAUAAGCCACGGCUAACUACGUGACAGCAGCCGCGGUCAUACGUAGGUGGCCAGCGUUGUCCGGAUUUGCUGGGGGUAAAGGGCGUGUAGCCGGGUUGACAAGUCAGAUGUGAAAUCCUGCGGCUUAACCGCAGAACUGCAUUUGAAACUGGUGAUCUUGAGUACUGGAGAGGCAGACAGAAUGCGUAGUGUAGCGGUGAAAUGCGUAGAUAUUAGGAGGAACACCAGUGGCGAAGGCGGUCUGCUGGACAGCAACUGACGGUGAGGCGCGAAAGCGUGGGGAGCAAACAGGAUUAGAUACCCCAGUAGUC
rnacentral:rRNA from 1 species